UUAAUCAUUAUGUCCACUGGACGGAUCAGACGCAAUCAUCACUCCAAGACUUUAGGGCACGCGGGGGGGCGGGGCCGACAAGGGCCCCCACGGCCAGGGCCGCUUCACCCCCCCGAGGCAAUGGCAGAAGACCACAUGGUUUAAGGUAGAGAAGGGCGACGAAGCGCCUGCUUCCUGAAUGAUCCCUCCGCAGGUUCACCUACGGAGA
rnacentral:misc_RNA from 1 species